rnacentral:rRNA from 1 species
UUCGCAAGAAGGGGGCCCUAACGCGUUAUGGCGAGGGCGCAGAGAAAAGGCUCUGGGGACUGUUUAUCAAAAACACAGGUCUGUGCAAACACGCAAGUGGACGUAUACAGACUGACGCCUGCCCAAUGCCGGAACGUUAAGGAAGCAGGUUAGCUUCGGCGAAGCUUGCGACCGAAGCGCCGGUCAAUGGCGGCCGUAACUAU